AGGCACUUUUAUACUGGUGAAACUGCGAAAUGGGCUCAUUAAAUCAGUUAUCGUUUAUUUGAUAGUACCUUACUACAUGGAUACCUGUGGUAAUUCUAGAGCUAAUACAUGCUAAAAACCUCGACUUCGGAAGGGGUGUAUUUAUUAGAUAAAAAACCAAUGCCCUUCGGGGCUCCUUGGUGAUUCAUAAUAACUUAACGAAUCGCAUGGCCUUGCGCCGGCGAUGGUUCAUUCAAAUUUCUGCCCUAUCAACUUUCGAUGGUAGGAUAGUGGCCUACCAUGGUGGCAACGGGUAACGGGGAAUUAGGGUUCGAUUCCGGAGAGGGAGCCUGAGAAACGGCUACCACAUCCAAGGAAGGCAGCAGGCGCGCAAAUUACCCAAUCCCGACACGGGGAGGUAGUGACAAUAAAUACUGAUACGGGGCUCUUUUGGGUCUCGUAAUUGGAAUGAGUACAAUCUAAAUCCCUUAACGAGGAACAAUUGGAGGGCAAGUCUGGUGCCAGCAGCCGCGGUAAUUCCAGCUCCAAUAGCGUAUAUUAAAGUUGUUGCAGUUAAAAAGCUCGUAGUUGAACCUUGGGUCUGGCUGGCCGGUCCGCCUCACCGCGAGUACUGGUCCGGCUGGACCUUUCCUUCUGGGGAACCUCAUGGCCUUCACUGGCUGUGGGGGGAACCAGGACUUUUACUGUGAAAAAAUUAGAGUGUUCAAAGCAGGCCUUUGCUCGAAUACAUUAGCAUGGAAUAAUAGAAUAGGACGUGCGGUUCUAUUUUGUUGGUUUCUAGGACCGCCGUAAUGAUUAAUAGGGAUAGUCGGGGGCGUCAGUAUUCAGCUGUCAGAGGUGAAAUUCUUGGAUUUGCUGAAGACUAACUACUGCGAAAGCAUUCGCCAAGGAUGUUUUCAUUAAUCAGGGAACGAAAGUUAGGGGAUCGAAGACGAUCAGAUACCGUCGUAGUCUUAACCAUAAACUAUGCCGACUAGGGAUCGGGCGGUGUUUCUAUGAUGACCCGCUCGGCACCUUACGAGAAAUCAAAGUUUUUGGGUUCUGGGGGGAGUAUGGUCGCAGGCUGAACUAAGAAAUUGAGGGAGGAAGAAGAA
rnacentral:rRNA from 1 species